UACGUAGGGGGCAAGCGUUAUCCGGAUUUAUUGGGCGUAAAGCGAGCGCAGGUGGUUUAUUAAGUCUGGUGUAAAAGGCAGUGGCUCAACCAUUGUAUGCAUUGGAAACUGGUAGACUUGAGUGCAGGAGAGGAGAGUGGAAUUCCAUGUGUAGCGGUGAAAUGCGUAGAUAUAUGGAGGAACACCGGUGGCGAAAACGGCUCUCUGGCCUGUAACUGACACUGAGGCUCGAAAGCGUGGGGAGCAAACAGG
rnacentral:rRNA from 1 species